ACAACAAAAGUCAGAAAUCCAAUCUCUUUUGGCUAGGUUCUCUCUCUCUCUCUCUCUCUCUCUCUCUCUCUCUCUCUCUCUCUCUACGCUAUUUUCUUGGCAAUCAAACAUAGUUCUUGACUUCGAUUGAUUUGGCUUUGCUUCAAAUUCACCGUGCUGGUAUCGUUACAUCUAGAUCUUGUAUAUAUUUAUACUUUUCCCUAUCCAAGCCCGCCGAUCAGGUUGUCUUUUUUCUACUCCUAUUGACAAGUAAAAUGUUGGGUUUGGUAAAGUCAAACAGCCCAUUGUCUAGCAGUUGUUUCCAAAACUUCCAAAUCGAAGUCCAAUUCAGUGUGUGCUUGUCUUGAUAGUUUGUAUUGAUUAUUUAGAAGUCAGGUAUUAAUACUAUAAUAUUAUAGAUAACCAGAAUUCUAUUCUCUGUGACCCUUACUUGUGAAACAAUAUUUUCUUGCUACACAUAUGAAAAGCAAAGGGAUGCACCAGCUGCCACCAGUGCACCAGGUGAUGCAAACUCAGCUGCAACACUCAGUGCAGCACAGCAUGCUACCCAGUGCAGCAGCUCAUGCAUAAAUUCAAGAUCAAAGACAAGUGAAGUUCAGAUUGAAGAUUCAAGUAAAAAUCCAGAGUUGAAGAAAUUGAAUAGAUGUAAUUACUCUUAUAAACGAUAGUGUGGUUUACUUGGUCUGCUUGAUGAGUGUACAAAAACGACCUGUAGUUUUGUUAGUUAGUUUAGUUAGUUUGAGUCAGACACGUGUGUGAGUUUGUUAUGUUUGUUGCGUUGCGUUCACACGUUCUUGUAGCGGUUAAGUUAGAAUGUAUAUAUACA